rnacentral:rRNA from 1 species
GAGUAACGCGUGGGAACGUGCCCUUUGCUACGGAAUAGCCCCGGGAAACUGGGAGUAAUACCGUAUGUGCCCCUUGGCCUUGUCGGCUUUGGGGGAAAGAUUUAUCGGCAAAGGAUCGGCCCGCGUUGGAUUAGGUAGUUGGUGGGGUAUGGCCCACCAAGCGGCGAUCCAUAGCUGGUUUGAGAGGAUGAUCAAGCCCCACUGGGACUGAGGCACGGCCCAGACUCCUACGGGAGGCAGCAGUGGGGAAUCUUAGACAAUGGGGCAACCCUGAUCUAGCCAUGGCGCGUGAGUGAUGAAGGCCUUAGGGUUGUAAAGCUCUUUCAGCUGGGAAGAUAAUGACGGUACCAGCAGAAGAAGCUCCGGCUAACUCCGUGCAGCAGCCGCGGUAAUACGGAGGGGGCUAGCGUUGUUCGGAAUUACUGGGCGUAAAGCGCACGUAGGCGGACCGGACAGUCAGAGGUGAAAUCCCAGGGCUCAACCUUGGAACUGCCUUUGAAACUAUCGGUCUGGAGUUCGAGAGAGGUGAGUGGAAUUCCGAGUGUAGAGGUGAAAUUCGUAGAUAUUCGUAGCAUCGUCAUCGUGAAAUUCAUCCUGGUGCAGGAUUAGAUA